CAGAGCCAAGGUCUGUGGGAGCUGUACUCUAACAUGGAGCUGACUAUGAUCCCUGUGCUGGCAGCCAUGGAGAGUCACAGGAUCCAUGUGGACACGGAGUCCCUAAAGACAACAUCAGAGAUGCUGGGGACUAAGAUGAAGCAGCUAGAGCACGAGGCCCACCAGGCAGCAGGCCAGAUGUUUCUAGUGACCAGCAGCACCCAGCUCAGGACGGUCAGUGUGUGUGUAUAGGCGUGUUUAUAGGUACUAUGUAUGUGUGUGUGCUGUCCUAAUCCUGCUCUCUACAGGUUCUGUUUGAAAAGCUGCAUCUGCAGGAGCGCUGUGAAAACAAGAAGCUCCCCAAGACUCUCAACAAACAACAGCAGUCUACAUCUGAGGCUGUUUUGUUGCAGCUCCAGGACCUGCACCCCCUGCCGAAGAUCAUUCUCGAAUACAGACAGGUUCAUAAGAUCAAGUCUACCUUCGUCGACGGGGUUCUGUCUUGUAUGAUGAGUAAGAACUUCAUCUCGUGCACAUGGUACCAGACCAGUGCAGUGACUGGAAGAAUUUCUGCCAAACACCCA